AGCUGGCCGUGCUGGAUGUACGGCGCGACGAAUUGUAAGCCGACACAGGAUCGCCGUACCUGGGGGGAGUGUUGAGUACACCCUAAUGUACAUGCGCGCCUCUCUAUCCAAUCCGGUAUCUUUAGGUCGUACAUACACCAUUGUACGCUGGUAGCGUAUGAUACCUUCUUCCAUGAAGGCGUUUAUAGAAGGUGACGAAUGGACAGUAUUGUGCAAUAGAAAGUGUUGAAAUCACGUGCUGAAUUACAAUUCCUAAUUUACUACUCUAUUUGCAAGUAUUUAAACCUAAACUACUAUGAAAUUUUGCUACUUAUCUAAAUUCGCUUAAGUGUCGCCUUAAACCUACAUAGUGCAUUACCAUAACCCUACAUCUAUUCGGAUUAAAAGCCUACAUGCAAAGGCUGAUCGAAAAAUAAGAACUCGCAUAAUCAGGAACAUUGAUCGCCGGCAGGUAUCGCACAACGGGACUAAACGUAAGUCAAAACGGACAAACAUAUAUUUCUCAAAGCACUAAAUGAACAUUAAAUAAUUAGAAUUGCAACAU
rnacentral:lncRNA from 1 species